GACGAACGCUGGCGGCGUGCUUAACACAUGCAAGUCGAACGGAAAGGCCCUGCUUUUGUGGGGUGCUCGAGUGGCGAACGGGUGAGUAACACGUGAGUAACCUGCCCUUGACUUUGUGAUAACUUCAGGAAACUGGGGCUAAUACCGGAUAGGAGCUCCUGCUGCAUGGUGGGGGUUGGAAAGUUUCGGCGGUUGGGGAUGGACUCGCGGCUUAUCAGCUUGUUGGUGGGGUAGUGGCUUACCAAGGCUUUGACGGGUAGCCGGCAUGAGAGCGUGACCGGGCACAAUGGGCCUGCGGUACGGAGCAGACUGCUACGGGAGGCAGCAGUGGAGAGUAUUGCACAGUGGCCGGAAGCGUGAGGCGACAACGCCGGGUGCGGGAUGCUGGCCUUCGGGUUGUAAACCGCUUUGGCCGGUGACGAAGAGUUAGUGACGGUAAUGGGUAAAGAAGCACCGGCUAACUACGUG
rnacentral:rRNA from 1 species